CCCUUAGAUGUCCUGGGCCGCACGCGCGCUACACUGAUGCAUGCAACGAGUAUAUAACCUUGGCCUGAAAGGCCUGGGUAAUCUUUUGAACGUGCAUCGUGAUAGGGAUAGAUUAUUGCAAUUAUUAAUCUUGAACGAGGAAUUCCUAGUAAACGCGAGUCAUCAGCUCGCAUUGAUUACGUCCCUGCCCUUUGUACACACCGCCCGUCGCACCUACCGAUUGAGUGAUCCGGUGAGGCUCUGGGACCUGGACGGAAAGAGCGUUUCGCUUGUUCUGUUUGGGAAACUUGGUCGAACCUUAUCAUUUAGAGGAAGGAGAAGUCGUAACA
rnacentral:rRNA from 1 species